CCACGGACAAUGUGAAGCGAAAAAAUAUGUUCAGACAUACAAAUAUUAAUAAAUCGGACUGGAGUUGCUGGAAAUUUGGCAAUGGACGAGUUGAGAUACAAUGCUUGCUGGGGCGAACUGGAUAUGCUAGGUGUUGUAGUAGGGCGUCCGCAGGGCUUCCUGGUAAACUUUGCUCGAAUUGCUGUAUCGUUGGGGGAGCGUUUCUGCUCUGCACAAAAUUUCCUCGAUAUUUUAGAAAAAACACGUUAGUUCACUUGAAGGUUAUUUUUUCGUCUGGUUGGUAUAUUUUCAGAAGAUAUGUACAAUGUAUUAGUGUAGGUGUGGUGAAUAAGAAAUUUCAUGUUCUGGUUCCGGA